CAGGUACAGCGGGAAGCCAUAUGGCGACAUAGAGCGGAACCCGAAAACCUGUCUCAGUUCGGAUUGGAGUCUGCAACCCGACUCCAUGAAGCUGGAUUCGCUAGUAAUCGCGCAUCAGCCACGGCGCGGUGAAUACGUUCCCGGGCCUUGUACACACCGCCCGUCAAGCCAUGGAAGCCGGGGGUGCCUGAAGUGCGCUGCCGCAAGGAGCGCCCUAGGGUAAAACCGGUGACUGGGGCUAAGUCGUAACAAGGUACC
rnacentral:rRNA from 1 species